UACGGGGGGGGUAAGCGUUGUUCGGAAUUACUGGGCGUAAAGGGCUCGUAGGCGGCCAACUAAGUCAGACGUGAAAUCCCUCAGCUUAACUGGGGAACUGCGUCUGAUACUGGAUGGCUUGGAUUCGGGAGAGGAAUGCGGAAUUCCAGGUGUAGCGGUGACGUGCGUAGAUAUCUGGAGGAAUACCGGUGGCGAAGGCGGCAUUCUGGACCGACAUUGACGCUGAGGAGCGAAAGCCAGGGGAGCAAACGGG
rnacentral:rRNA from 1 species